rnacentral:sRNA from 1 species
AAAAUAGACUUAAACUGGACCUUUGCUUAAAGGUCUGUUUCCCUAGCUUGCAAGGAUAGUCUUUCCCAUUAAUAGGAAGGUAUUCUGAACCCCUGGUCUAAUAAGCUCACAUUUGAACUCACAUGGACUUCCUUCUACCUAAACUUUCGAACUUUUUUUAGACACAGGAAGUAGCAAGAAGGGAGAUGCCAAGUGACAAUCACCAGGAAGAUGAGUUCAGACACUACUCACCUCGUCAGUCCACAGUCCGAUCCCCAGAGAAGAUGACUAGAGAAGGGUACCAAGUAUCUUUUUUGGACAAUAAGUCUUCAGGUUCUUCUCCAGAAAAGGAAUUGAUACCAAAACCCGAUACUUUUCAUCUUACCCAUGAUGCCUCAUUGAGUAAACGCCUGGAUGUGGGUGAUUCUAGCCAGAUCCAUCCCUAUCAGUUACCUUCAGAUGUUGGUCUGGAAAAUUGUGACAGUUGUUAUUCUCAAACUCUAUCCCUGCAUGGAAGUCUUGGUAAAAGGCCUCAGAGAAGCAAGAACUAUCAAGAGUAUAGCAUAAAGCCUUCAAAUGACAUAAAGGCCACCGCUUCACAUUCCUGUGGAGACUU